rnacentral:lncRNA from 1 species
AGUUUUUAUAACACUAAAAGCAUGGUAAAAUUUCCUUUGCUGUAUUGCUACACUAGUUAUUUAAAAUACAAAUGAUGCUUUUGUCAUUCCAAAUACUGUCUCAAGGGCUUCACACUUGUUUCCUCAUUUAAUCCUCUGAACUGCUUGGAUGAAGAAGCUUCUGCACAGAGAUGCUGAGUAACCUGCCUAAGGUCACAAGGCUAUGAGUGAUAAAGUCUGGAUUCCUCACUCCAAAGCUCUCAACCAUCACAAUGGAGUUUUGGUUUACUCUUCUCUGAUCAUCUAGAGGACCCCUCUGUCAUGAGGACACUGUGCUGUGGCCCAGACGGUGUAGGGGCUUUUUCUGGAUUGUCCUGCCUGCCUUCUUGCCCUCUGGUCCCAUAGUUGCUUUGAAACUCAGGCAUCAUAAAUAGGUUUUAAGAUCCUGGGCCUAAAGGUCUGUGGGAAUGGAGAAGUUGGUGCAUUAAGACUGCACCAGACUGUUAAAUCUUAGUUGAAAUCCCUUAAAAAAAAAAAAUCUAAGAAACUCAAGCUACACCUGAUAUGGGAGACCCAGAUCAAGCAGUCCAUCAACAAAUCUUUAUUAAAUGCCACUAAAUGCAAGGCCCCAUGCUCAGUGCCCUGGGCAGCUAUCAGAGCAGCUCUGGAUUUUACAGUAGAAUUGUGAUUUGCAGUUUCUGAUGAAAAGAACUAUUUGUGGCAUGCCAGAGCUUAUGGGGCUUAUGGGUAUUAAGUCUAUUUAAGCCUGCAACUGAGAUUGAGGCUUUUUCUUGAGGAAAGAAGAAAACAAAACCAAGGACCCAUCCCUCUGUUUGGAAGAAACAGGAGAUUUAAUUCCUGGGUAAUUGAACCAGAGAGAAUCCAGUUUGAGAGAAGAGCAAGAGACAGCAGAGAAGAGCCGGAAGCUAGAUGGAGAAUGAGGGGUAAGGCCUAGGGUCCUUACUGGGGGGCUGCUAGGAUGCUGACCCUAUAUGCCUACUCCCUCCAAGCAUGGAAUUAGAACAUUCCUCUAGAUAGAUAGGCUUCCCCAAAAGGAAAGUCACAGAUUCUGACAUGUAGGGAAUCCCACAAUGAAAUGGUCCCU